AACUCACACAAAGUGUGAUAAGUUAUGUAUAUGCGUUUUUGAGGAAAAUUGGAUAUCUCUCUUCAUCCCUAGGACCGUGGUAUUUAUAGAGGAUCCUUGGACCUAUAUCAAAGACCAAAUAUUCCUAAUUCCCUCACCGAGACAUGGAGAGGAAUAAAUUCAUUCUUCCUUGGAUCACGGGGAAAAUGGUUAUCUUCCUUAAACACCCAUAUUCUUCCGUUACAGUUAUGACAUAUCACCUUAAAUGCCUACUGAGUAAAUGGGUAGUGAGAAUUAGUUCAGCUGGCCCAAACCCAAUUGGGCGAUCUAUUACCCGAAUCUAGGCGACUUAUGUAUUCACUAGAAAGCUUGCACCUCGCCAGCAUGCCUGACUUUUCUUUCUUCUUCUUAGGUUAUCCAGGUGAGGUCAUGGUUCCUAAAGUGAAGGGUACAAGCACAAAAUCUUUUGCUUAAGUGUUGAGUAAGCCAUGUGUUAUUAUCCCUCAUUGUCAAUUUAUGAGAUUUAGUUUGAAAGGAGAUGACGUAAUUGUCAAAAAUCCAGAGGAAGAGCACAAGGUUAGUAUUGAAUCGUGCAAAAAUCAUCUUUAUGGAAGGUUGAUUCUGUUUAAAGGAAAUUCUCCCCUGAAACUUCAAGACUCGAAUGAAAAACUAAACAUUAUUUGGAAGCCUUUAAGUAAAUGGGAAAUUGUUUCUUUAAGAAAAGGUUUCUAUGGAUUUGGUUUUUCUUCUACCGGGGAUAUUCAACGUGUUCGUGCGGUUUCUCAAACUAUUCGCUUGGACUCCUGACUUUAAUCCUAAUAACAAAAAAUAUACAAUAGUUCAAUGUUGGGUUCGUGUCUUUUAAGUUAUUUUUUUUUGUAAUAGGUUGGUCCUUUAAAUUAUUUUUGUAACAACUUGAUCCUUUAAGUUACCAAAUGUAUGCAUCAUUACCCUUUUUUUAAUAGAGUGAUGAUGCUAAUUGUGGAUGCAAUUAUUUUGAGUGGUAUGAAAAUGAUGAAGUGCAACCAGAAAUACAACAACCACACAUUUUUAAAUGUUCAAAAUGUAAGAAAAAUGAUAUAGAAAUCACUCAAAAAGACUAAGUUGUUACAAAAAUAACUUAAAGAAUCAACUUGUUACAAAAAAAAUAACUUAAAUGACCUCUGUUGUAAUUUUGCCUAUUAUCUUUGUAAUUGCUAGCGGGCUCGGAACACCAAUAUUUUUGGAUGCUGCAACAAGUAAGUGGCCACUAGAGAGAUCUUCUGGAUAUUUUGCAAGAGUUUAGUUGAUAUUGAUUAAUCUGCUAAAAUCAGACAUAAAUUUGCCA